GAUGAACGCUGGCGGCGUGCCUAAUACAUGCAAGUUGAGUGAACGGACGAGAAGCUUGCUUCUCUGAUGUUAGCGGCGGACGGGUGAGUAACACGUGGAUAACCUACCUAUAAGACUGGGAUAACUUCGGGAAACCGUAGCUAAUACCGGAUAAUAUUUUGAACCGCAUGGUUCAAAAGUGAAAGACGGUCUUGCUGUCACUUAUAGAUGGAUCCGCGCUGCAUUAGCUAGUUGGUAAGGUAACGGCUUACCAAGGCAACGAUGCAUAGCCGACCUGAGAGGGUGAUCGGCCACACUGGAACUGAGACACGGUCCAGACUCCUACGGGAGGCAGCAGUAGGGAAUCUUCCGCAAUGGGCGAAAGCCUGACGGAGCAACGCCGCGUGAGUGAUGAAGGUCUUCGGAUCGUAAAACUCUGUUAUUAGGGAAGAACAUAUGUGUAAGUAACUGUGCACAUCUUGACGGUACCUAAUCAGAAAGCCACGGCUAACUACGUG
rnacentral:rRNA from 1 species